AUUGAACGCUGGCGGCAGGCCUAACACAUGCAAGUCGAGCGAGCGGCGGACGGGUGAGUAAUAUCUGGGGACCUGCCCGCUGGAGGGGGAUAACUACUGGAAACGGUGGCUAAUACCGCAUACUAUCGGAUGUGCCCAUAUGGGAUUAGCUAGUAGGUUGGGUAAAGGCACACCUAGGCGACGACCCCUAGCUGGUCUGAGAGGAUGACCAGCCACACUGGCACUGGGACACGGCCCAGACCCAUACGGGCGGCAGCAGUUGGGAAUAUUGCACAAGUGGCGCAAGCCUGAUGCAGCCAUGCCGCGUGUAUGAAGAAGGCCUUAGGGUUGUAAAGUACUUUCAGCGGGGAGGCGUUACCCGCAGAAGAGGCACCGGCUAACUCCGUGCCAGCAGCCGCGGUAAUUC
rnacentral:rRNA from 1 species